GAUGAAGAACGCAGCGAAAUGCGAUACGUAAUGUGAAUUGCAGAAUUCAGUGAAUCAUCGAGUCUUUGAACGCACAUUGCGCCCCCUGGUAUUCCGGGGGGCAUGCCUGUCCGAGCGUCAUUGCUGCCCUCAAGCACGGCUUGUGUGUUGGGCCUCCGUCCUCCUCCCCGGGGACGGGCCCGAAAGGCAGCGGCGGCACCGCGUCCGGUCCUCGAGCGUAUGGGGCUUCGUCACCCGCUCUUGUAGGCCCGGCCGGCGCUUGCCGACACAUCAAUCUUUUUUCCAGGUUGACCUCGGAUCAGGUAGGGAUACCCGCUGAACUUAAGCAUAUCAAUAAGCGGAGGA
rnacentral:misc_RNA from 1 species